UCAAAUAUCUUGUUUCCAUCAUUAAAGAACAAGCAACUGUAGUAUAUUUUCAUAGUAACACAAUCAGAGUCCCUUUGGGAACGACAAAUGUUUGGAGACCUGUGUUCCCACCAACUGUCUUUUCUUUGUACUUCUACAUCAAAGAACAUCCUUUAACCAGUUAUAUGUUGAUUGGGGGUCUUGCAUCCCCCUGACAGAAACCUGUCGGGGGUUUACAACCGGUCCUGGUCUUCAAAGAGGACUGUUUGGCAUUAUCGUAACAAAGGACCCCCGGGGGAAAGAUUGACCAGACUGAGAGACGACAGCAGACGAGUAGUAGUAUUUCACACACCCAAAGAGACACCAGCUGGCCGGUACGAUUCCAAAUAUGGUCAUGAGGAGCAGCAUCCUUCCGGAUGCAACGAGGGAGGGGGCUAAUUCCACGCCCAGAGAAUUAGAACCUUGAUAAACUGAGAUCCCGGGGUUUUUCGGGGGGCUUUUUCGUCGUUCUGACAAUACAGCAGCUGCUAUGACACUAAGACCUGUUCAAUAAAUCGAAUUAGCCCAAAUGCCAAGUGUCUCGAAAUCUUCAUUCACCCCAUGCCAGACGGAAGUCGGAGUCCUCCCGGGAGACCACCGACUCGGAAGCACAGGCUCUCGUGAUUCGUACUUCGUACCAUUCGUCCGAUAGACACAACCAUUAAUUCCCCCAAAAUCCUGAUGCGAUGGUCCAAUGGUCUAAAACUUUGCCUCCGGUUCAGGCGUCUCGGAUUCGAUCCCCACUCUGAACUCCACUAAUGAACAAAUAUUGUGGAGAGAUAUAAAUGGGGAACAAAGGAAGGAUCGAACACGAGUCGCGACGACACCGGUGUUUGAACACCGUAAAUACAACCCAAUCGGGCCAAAUGAGAGACUCGUUCUCCUUUGCCAGAUGUCCGUCACCGGCGUUUCCACAAGAUCGCCCAAAACUUUGACAAGGGUGCUAACAUCUUGCUAGCAUGCUAGCUAAAACCUUUGAGCUUUCGGAGGCAUUUAACGUCUCCUGCGAGCUUAAACUACACCAAAACGCAUUUAUCUGGCGUAUAGGCUGAUAAAUGAAUGCACACACAUUUGGACAAAAGUGCCGUAUUGCAGGAGGUUUGAAUCUUCAACCGAAUGGCCAAAUUGAGUUCAAAUCUUCAACAAAAUGGCUGACUUCCUGUGACUUUUGGGGCAGGCCUCUUGAGCCUUUUGUGGGUCUACUGAUAAACGCCUCGCCCAAUUGUCACGUUGCGAAGUCAAACUGGCUCGUGGUGCUGAAUUGGGAGACGUCGAACGCUAACCGUGUUGUCGUGUCUUUCAGGCCGUCGCUGACGAGGCGUCCGGCUGCGCCCUGCUCGCCUCACUGGUGAGACAAACUUUCAUACAUGUAAAAAAACAAAAGUGACUCAUUUCUUUAAGCACGAGCUGACCAGGCAGCCUCCAGCGACGUCAUCACAGUUCAGGUGGGAACACUCACUCGAUGGCAACACCAAAUGUUGGGGUUAACGUUUAAUGUUGUGGUGCUUUUGUAUCAACCCAGGAAGAAUCUGAAGGAGGUUCCCCCAAAGUUGCACUCUGAGCUGCGCUGCAGUCAGAUCCUUCAAGUUCUUUACCUUCUCGCUCCUGGACAGUAGCAUGUUCUUGCUGCUCACGUCCACCAGGUGGUGCCGAAGAAUUGUGGAGAACCUGAUCAUGGAUCAACUGGUGGUGGAAACAUGGCGUCACAAUCAACUUCCUGUCCAACAUGUUGAGCGGUCGGCUUCCAGUCCAAGUGCCAUCGGGGACUCGGCCACCAAGAUCCUGGACUUGCUGGGCAAAGAGAAGAGUUCCACAUGAAUGUGCAGGUCUCCCGGAGAAGUCUCUGUGCCACCAGUUCACUCUGAAGGCUUCAGUCGUUUGAUACGAGGAUGGUUCUUGUUGCAGUCGUCGUGGUCAAGCUAAAGGUGGUGGAAACAUGGCGUCAUGAUCAACUUCCUGUCCAGCAUGUUGAGUUGAAGUCAGCUUCCAGUCAAAGUGCCAUCGGGGGACUCGGCUACCAAGAUCCUCCACCUGCUGGGCAAAGAGAAGAGUUCCACAUGAAUGUGCAGAAGAUCUCCUGGAGAAGUCUCACGCCACCAGUCCACUCAGAAAGGCCUGAGUCGUUUGAAACGAAGACUGUUCUUGUUCAAGCAGAAGGUUCCAGUCUACCUGAGAUGACUUUCCAGCGCUGUCCUUUCUUGAUGCGUUUUGGCUGCAGUCACGACAGCCUCUUGUUUGGAGUCAUUGGGAGCUGAGGAACAAGAUGUUGCACUCGGAGAUAUGCUGCAGCCAGGACCCUCAAGUUCUUUACCUUCUUGGUCCUGGACACUUGCAUGUUCAUCUGCACGUCCACCAGGUGGCGCUGAAGGAUCCCUGGAGAACCUGAUCUCCUGAAGUGGUGGAAACAUGGUGUCAUGGUCAACUUUCUGUCCAACAUGUUGAGAGGUGAUGUAAGCUACAAAACAAGCUCAGCAAAUUUAAGUUUGAAGUGCCCUCGCCUGCUUUUUUCCUUUGACGCCACAUGCAGGUCAGCUUUCAGUCCAAGUGCCAUCGGGGACUCGGCCAGCAAGCUCCUCCACCUGCUGGGCAAAGAGACAAGUUCUACAUGAACGUGCAGAAGGUCCUCAACGCUGCCUUCAGCUUUGUUGCCUUGCUAAUACAUUUAUUAAACAGCAGGUUGGCGUCCCGUCCGCCUUUCCCAGAAGUCUGUCGGCCGUCGGCCCGAAACCUCCCCGAUCCUGUCGUGCGCACAAAAGCAAAAGUAAUCUUAGAUUCACGGAGAAGAGGUUUUGAAAAACGUUUCACCGUCAUCUAGAGGCUCCAGUCUGCAAAUGACACACAGGACACCGACAACGCCUCCUGCUGUUCGGAAGAGCGCACUACAAGCAGGAGUCCAUGAGGUCAAGGGAGGCGAGGUCACGCAGACUCUGGAAAUGUGUAAUAUAUAAUAUAUUGUGCAUAUCUUGUACAAUAUGUGUACCGUGUUUUGUUGAUAGUCACGAGAGAGGUUUAGUUUUAAUGUGUCACUUCUAGACGCUACUUGACACGCAGCAAAGCAAAAUGUUAGCUCUAAACAAAUCCAUAAAUUGUUUUAUACGUUUAUUUAAAUGUUUAUAUAUAAUAAAUAACAUGUAUUUUA